rnacentral:rRNA from 1 species
GGAUUAGAUACCCUGGUAGUCCACGCUGUAAACGAUGUUCACUCGCUGUUUGCGAUACACAGUAAGCGGCUGAGCGAAAGCAUUAAGUGAACCACCUGGGGAGUACGAUCGCAAGGUUGAAACUCAAAGGAAUUGACGGGGGCCCGCACAAGCGGAGGAACAUGUGGUUUAAUUCGAUGAUACGCGAGGAACCUUACCUGGGCUUAAAUGUACGAUGCAUAGAUUGGAAACAGUCUUUUCCUUCGGGACUUUGUGCAAGGUGCUGCAUGGUUGUCGUCAGCUCGUGUUGC